GUACAAGCGUUCAAGGCAUUUUCCCUGGACCAGAUAUUUACACAGGAGUACUGUGUUGACAUUAUGUGGCUUCGGAUUUCAGCGGGCAGGCUGAUGCCUCUUGGGACAUGCUGAGAGGAUUCUGUUUAAAGGGUGUACACUGUGAAUCACAGUUUCAAAGGAAGACGGCAAAUAUGAACCUCAGCCAAGCAAUUUGUGAAGCUGGAUUGCUGACAGAAAUCCAGGAAGCAGCAGAAAAACAACAAACAAAAGAAGAGCUCAGGGGCUGCGUGUAACCUGGAGGAACACAGUAGGAUGAGCCCCAGGAUGAAACGGGUGAUGUGAGGGAGCAGAGGUCUGAUGAGGCAGCCUUGUCUUGAAAAGCUGAGAAGCCCAGCCUCGGGGACAGAGUGAGACUCUGUCUCCACAAAAAAUUUCUUUUUUUUUUUUUUUUUUUUUUUUAAGACAGAGUCUUGCUCUGUCGCCCAGGCUGGAGUGCAGUAACGCAGUCUCAGCUCACUGCAACCUCUGCCUCCCAGGUUUAAGGGAUUCUCGUGCCUCAGCCUCCCAAGUAACUGGGAUUACAGGUGCCCACCACCACGCCCAGCUAAUAUAUGUUAUUUUAGUAGAG
rnacentral:lncRNA from 10 species